UUCCUAUAUAAAGAAAUCUCCUGUUACUCUUUACCUGGCUGGAUACUCACUAACACAGGCUUUUCUGAUGUUGCACCGAAAUCUGUGACCCAUCAAAAUGUGUGCUCUGUAGCGCUGUCACCCUGCCGUAAAUCAUUUUGUAAUUUCA